UUGUUUUAAUUGUCUUUUUUUCUGAGUCUCUCCCUGAUCUCUCUCUCUACUACUCUCAGCUACUGUUUCCCUGCCCUGCUCACUGUUUGCGUUUUCUUCCUUCAGAAAAAGGAAGCGUAAGGAGGAUAAGGGGGAAUAUGUAAAGAAACCUCCCAACGCGUUUAUGCUUUUCCUAAAAAGUGAGAGGAAGACGGUGCAGGAAGAGCUCGGCAUUAGAAACAGUGCCGCCGUCAACAGAGUUCUUUCUGAACGCUGGAAGUCUUUGGAAGCAGACAAAAGACAGAUCUUUCAAGCAGAAGCCCAAGUGGAAGCUCAUAUCCAUGCUCUGAAUAACCCCGGCUGGAGCAACAAAGUGAACUACGGGAAAAAGAGUAAAAAACCACGAACUAAAGCUCCACCUCUGGCUCCACCCUCCUGCUGAUGGGAAUGUAUAAUAAACAUCACUAACAUACUAACGAGACUCACCUAGAAACAAGCCUGCAGUGGAAUCAGAAGACUCAUCAUCUGUUCUCUGUAUUUUACUAUCACCAAGGACAGCAAUGACAUCGGCAGCAACAACAGCAAGGGCAACGUCAGCAGCAGCAACAUCAACAGCAACAACGGCAACAACAACAAAAAGGGCAGUGUCAAUAGCAACAUCAGCAGCAACUACAGCAUCAGCAGCAACAACAAGAUCAAUGUCAACAACAGCAUCAGCAGCAACAAGAAUGGCAA
rnacentral:lncRNA from 1 species